AACGGCGAGUGAAGCGGGAAGAGCUCAAAUUUAAAAUCUGGCUUGCUUGCAAGUCCGAGUUGUAGUCUGAAGAAGCGUUUUCCAUGAAAGCUGAGGCACAAGUCCUUUGGAACAGGGCAUCAUAGAGGGUGAGAAUCCCGUCCAUGGUCUCAUGCAUUUCAUUUUGUGAUACGUUUUCUAAGAGUCAGGUUGUUUGGGAAUGCAGCCUAAAAUGGGUGGUAAAUUUCAUCUAAAGCUAAAUAUUGGCGAGAGACCGAUAGCGAACAAGUACCGUGAGGGAAAGAUGAAAAGAACUUUGAAAAGAGAGUUAAAAAGUACGUGAAAUUGUUGAAAGGGAACCGUUUGAAGCCAGUCUUGCUUACUUGUGAUCAAUCUUAGCUUCGGCUUGGAUGCACUCUCAAGUUAUGCAGGUCAACGUCAGUUUGAGAGGUGGGAAAAAAGUUUGAGGAAUGUGGCCUUCGGGUGUUAUAGCCUCUUACUAAAUACCAUCUCCUGGACUGAGGCUCGCAGCAAAAAUGUGGGCUGGUUUGCUCCUGAGGUGAAUCAUUAUUAAGACAGCUUGCUGACUUAGUUUUGUGGAUCUUCACGGUAGGCUAGCUUCUAAUUUGCUUAGGUCGUUGACAUAAUGGCUUUAAAU
rnacentral:rRNA from 1 species